ACAAGUGGAGCUGAGCCUUCACCUUGAAAUGAGCGAAUCGAACGCGUGCGCUGGGAGUGCUGCAAACUCAAGGUGUUCCUUGAUCCUUUAAUCUUGCAAAUAUUCAGCCCCUCAGCAGCGAUGUCUCUGCCAGCCCUCCGGUUUCUGGCUCAGACCCGGCUCGGAGCUUGGAGAAGAAAUCCGAAGUCCCAACAGAAUAACCUCUGCCGUCAUUUUCUUUUUUUCAUAGCCUUUGUUCUCCCCCUGGAGGUUUGUGGUGAGGUUCUGUCCCGCCGCUUCUCCCCCGGAAACCAACGAAAUCAACCGAAAUAAUGAUGAAUUUUUCAACUCUU